AGUUCAGUGGAGAAGAAUUGUAAUCGAAGGAAUUAUCUCAAUCAGAUUCUAUGGAUUGGAAGUUGUUCAUUCUAGGAUUUGGGUUGUGCUUGUGUGUUCAUGAAUUACACAGGGUACUGAAAUUGAUGUCGUGGUUGUUAUCGUAUUGAUAUGAGAGAGUGGACAGUAGGAGAAAAAGUUAAGUGUUCUUUGGUAUUGU
rnacentral:lncRNA from 1 species